CCUACGGGAGGCAGCAGUGGGGAAUAUUGCGCAAUGGACGCAAGUCUGAACCAGCCAUGCCGCGUGCAGGAUGACGGCUCUAUGAGUUGUAAACUGCUUUUGUACGAGGGUAAACCCCGAUACGUGUAUCGGGUUGAAAGUAUCGUACGAAUAAGGAUCGGCUAACUCCGUGCCAGCAGCCGCGGUAAUACGGAGGAUCCGAGCGUUAUCCGGAUUUAUUGGGUUUAAAGGGUGCGUAGGCGGUUUGAUAAGUUAGAGGUGAAAUGUCGGGGCUCAACCCCAUCCAGCCGUUGAAACUGGGGAUCUAGAGUGUGCGAGAGGUAUGCGGAAUGCGUGGUGUAGCGGUGAAAUGCAUAGAUAUCACGCAGAACCCCGAUUGCGAAGGCAGCAUACCGGUGCACAACUGACGCUCAGGCACGAAAGCGUGGGUAUCGAACAGGAUUAGAUACCCCUGUAGUC
rnacentral:rRNA from 1 species